rnacentral:rRNA from 1 species
AGCAGCCGCGGUAAUUCCAGCUCCAAUAGCGUAUAUUAAAGUUGCUGCAGUUAAAAAGCUCGUAGUUGAAUUUCGGGACUAAUAUGUUGGUCGUGCCUCGGUACGUACUGAUAUUUUUGGUUUCUCCCUUCUGACGAACCUUGAUGUCAUUAAUUUGGUGUCUUGGGAAAUCAGGACUGUUACUUUGAAAAAAUUAGAGUAUUUAAAGCAGGCUCACGCUUGAAUACAUUAGCAUGGAAUAAUGAAAUAGGACGUUUGAUUCUAUUUUGUUGGUUUCUAGGAUUGACGUAAUGAUUAAUAGGGAUAGUUGGGGGCAUUAGUAUUCAAUUGUCAGAGGUGAAAUUCUUGGAUUUAUUGAAGACUAACUACUGCGAAAGCAUUUGCCAAGGAUGUUUUCAUUAAUCAAGAACGAAAGUUAGGGGAUCGAAGACGAUCAGAUACCGUCGUAGUCUUAACCAUAAACUAUGCCGACUAGGGAUCGGAUGAUGUUAAUUUUUUAAUGACUCAUUCGGCGCCUUAC